CCUACGGGAGGCAGCAGUGGGGAAUCUUGCACAAUGGAGGAAACUCUGAUGCAGCGAUGCCGCGUGAGUGAAGAAGGCCUUUGGGUUGUAAAGCUCUUUUGUAGGGGAAGAUAAUGACUGUACCCUAAGAAUAAGGUCCGGCUAACUUCGUGCCAGCAGCCGCGGUAAUACGAAGGGACCUAGCGUAGUUCGGAAUUACUGGGCGUAAAGCGCGCGUAGGCCGUUGAGUUAGUUAAUUGUGAAAUCCCAAAGCUUAACUUUGGAACUGCAAUUAAAACUGCUCGACUAGAGUUUGAUAGAGGAAAGCGGAAUACAUAGUGUAGAGGUGAGAUUCGUAGAUAUUAUGUAGAACACCAGUUGCGAAGGCGGCUUUCUGGAUCAACACUGACGCUGAGGCGCGAAAGUAUGGGUAGCAAAGAGGAUUAGAUACCCUCGUAGUCCAUACCAUAAACGAUGAUUGCUAGAUGUUGGAAAUUUAUUUUCAGUAUCGCAGCUAACGCAUUAAGCAAUCCGCCUGGGGAGUACGACCGCAAGGUUAAAACUCAAAUGAAUUGACGG
rnacentral:rRNA from 1 species